GGAGGCGAACUUUAAGCGGGCAAUAUCUGUGGCAAAAAGGCUAAGAGGAAGAAGAUUUGGCCAGGCAAGAUAUGAGCUGGGACACUUGCAGAGCACAAAGGCUGGUGGCUAAAAGGGUCAGAGGACGGCGGCACCCGAGGGCUAGUGGAGAGGCGAGAGCAGUAAGUGUUAGGAGCCAGGAGCCCUUUCGAGAUCUUGUUUGCUUGUGGGGUCCCAGGUACCGGUGGUGGUGGAGCUUCUAGGCAGUGUCCGCUUCCUCGGACGCUAUGGUGAGUGGGGAGCUAGAACUUGGGGAGAAGCGGAUGGGGUAUCAAGCGGAGCCUGAUCUGCUGCAAGAGGUAAAGCCAGAAUUCGCGGUGGACCCAGAGACCCCCAACGGGUCUGUCCCGGGGCCACUACCAGAGGUGCGCCUGACCCGGCGGCGCUGGGCAAUUGUCUUCCUCUUCAGCUCCUAUUCCUUCUGCAACGCUUUCCAGUGGAUCCAGUAUGGCAGCAUCAACCUCAUCUUUGCCCGCUUCUAUGAUGUGACUCCCUUUACUAUUGACUGGCUCUCCAUGUGCUACAUGAUCGUCUACAUACCCCUACUUUUCCCCGUUGCCUGGCUCCUUGACAAGAAGGGACUGCGCUUCAUUGCUCUGGCUGGCUCUGCUCUCAAUUGCCUGGGCGCCUUGGUGAAGAUAGGCAGCGUGAAACCCAGCCUCUUCCCCGUCACUAUCCUGGGCCAGGUCGUCUGCUCUCUGGCCCAAGUCUUCAUCCUGGGGAUGCCAUCCCGCAUCGCUUCUGUCUGGUUUGGACCCGGUGAGGUCUCCAGUGCCUGUUCAAUUGCUGUCUUUGGGAACCAGCUUGGCAUAGCUGUGGGUUUCCUCCUCCCUCCAGUUCUGGUUCCCAAUCUGAUGGAGAAGGAGAAGCUGGCCUACCAUAUUAGCAUCAUGUUUUUUAUGACUGCAGCUGUGGCAACAGCACUCUUCAUUUUGGUACUUCUUGUGUUCCAGAAAAAGCCUCCCUAUCCUCCAAGCCGGGCCCAAGCCUUGAUCCACUCAGCAGCACCUGAGGAAUAUUCUUAUAUGCAAUCUAUUAUCCAUCUGUUUCGCAAUGUCAACUUUGUGCUUUUAAUAGUCACUUAUGGCUUAAACACAGGUUGCUUCUAUGCUCUCUCAACUCUGCUAAACCGCAUGGUGAUGUUGCACUAUCCGGGUGAGGAUUUGAAUGCUGGCAGAAUUGGUCUCACCAUUAUAGUGGCUGGCAUGGUUGGAGCUUUGAUCUCUGGCAUCUGGUUGGACAGAACCAAAGCAUAUAAGCAAACAACGCUGUUGGUUUAUAUCAUGUCAUUUGUAGGCAUGGUGGUUUACACUUUUACUCUUGAGCAGGGCCAUAUCUGGGUGGUCUUUGUGACUGCAGGUAUACUGGGUUUUUUCAUGACUGGGUACCUACCACUGGGCUUUGAAUUUGCAGCAGAAUUAACAUAUCCAGAAUCGGAAGGGACAUCAUCAGGCCUCCUUAAUGUGUCUGCACAGAUUUUUGGAAUAAUUUUCACCAUUAGCCAAGGACAGAUAAUUGAUCAUUUUGGGACUCAAGCAGGAAACCUCUUCCUCUGUGCCUUCCUGUUUAUUGGCACUGUUAUAACUGCUUUUAUCAAAGCUGAUCUCCGGAGACAGCAGGCCAAUCUGCGUAAUGAACAGACUGUAUGGGUUUUUAAUGGCUGAAUGCUGUUAAGAUUCUCCUCCAGGAAUCAGCAGAGCACGGCAUGUGCCCAAGAGCAGUCGGGAGGACUGAAAGAGACAUGCAGGCAACUUCUUGGUUUGAGAGCAUACAUACAGCGCACUAGAACACAUUGGGAAAAGUGCCUCACAACAGCACUGUGCCACUGUAUGAGGAAUCAAAAUUAUAAAGGUGGCAGAGUGAAGAGCUGCUGCUGCUGUUAUAACCAACUUCAUUCUCAUCUCUGCCACCUAUACCUCCCACUAUACAUGAUGUAGCCCAGCAACCAAGGGCAAUCCAGGAAGCUGCUUAUGUUGCUGAUGGAAAGGAAUGUACAGGGCUUGAGUUGCCCUCAUCUGAGCUAACUUCUUUGACUUUGUGGUGUUUGGGAGAAAAGGACUGAAGGCAGCAGUUGCUCAGUGGAAAAGAACGUGUCUUGGCAGUUGCAGCCAAAUCAGUGAAUCCAGUGUUGCUUCCAUCGCAUGGAUUGAGAACUACCAUCUGUUAAUCAUUUUAUGUGCCCAGUGGAUGUAUCAAUUGGGAUAUGAGAUGGAUCCAGAGGAAGAUCCUUGCUCCUUAGGGAGAAUCAGAAAGCACUUGCUCUGUGAGCAGUCCUAAUUGAAGCGCAAUGCUUGAUUUGCAAGUGGUGAACUGAUUUUACCUGGAGGCUUUCUCCACUUCAAAACUUCCUGUUAUAGAUUAUCUGUUUCAGUGAAUGCAGUUCAGAAUAUGUUUUUAAAGUAACGUUCAAUAGUUUUGAAAUGGAAAUGCUCUAUUUUUACCCAAAUUGGGCGAUACUCUAGAAAUGCCACAGGGAAAUAUUUUUUACAGAAUAUUUGAAAAGCACAUUGUGUCAUAGGUUAUUUCCACACUAGAGCCUUUUAGCACUACUGAAGCAUGGCUUUUCCACAUUUGGCUGGAAGCAGCAAUAAAACAGAGGUUCUACAUAGCACUUUGAAUAGCAUAAUCUUAUCCAGCAAUGCCCUUGCUCAUGGCCAAGUAAAUCGCUCAGAGUUCUGUUCAAGAAAAGUCCCCUGCAAGGUUAAUUAAAAGUUAACUCUUGUUGGGGGAGGAAUGAAGAAAUUGUAUUGCUGGUUUCCUUGUGUUACGUUGUUCUUCUGCAGUGAAAUAGUACUAUCAAAUAGAGAAAAAUACAAUGCAAGAAAAGCAUUAAUUGAACAGAAGAUGACUAAUCUCAGGGGAAUUUAUCACCAAUUCCUACAGCUGUGCUGGACAAGAAGCAAUUAAACUCUGAGGCAACUUAAUUAAAAGUGUAGUAGCUCCCAAGAGCCUCAAUAAGACUUUGUUGGUCCACAUGGGACAAGCUAGCACUGCAACUGAAUUUUAUUGCAAGAGGAAAUGAUGCCACAAUUUGGGUCUGAAAGAACAUAGGAGACACUGGAAUGCAACAAUUUGGCAACAAAUUGCCAGAUUGUAAAAAGUAAGUGAACCAUUAAGGACGGCUGUUUCAGAGAAAUGGGCCACUGUGGAAGCAACCCUAGUAUGCAGUGGCUAGCUUUGUGGUCUAUGGAAAUUAUUUAAACUUCAGAUAGAUUUCAUGGAAAUUCACCCUUGAUCAGGGGAGGAAAAAUGCAGUUUAAUUUACAGACAAAGAUGAACCUUCUAUAUUUUGAAACGAUUGUGAGUUGAACAAUGCAGACAUGCCCACCUCCAUACCCAUGAUGAUCUAUGAGGAAUUAUCAAGUGCCAUUUCCCAAUCAGAGUAAGGAGAAUUGUGCGAUUUCCACUGAUUUUGAAGGAGGUACACAUACAAAGAUCCAUUGAAUAUCUGUGCGGCUCUCCUUAAUUUUCUUGUGUUGUUCAGAGAUCCUGUUGUAUAGUAUCUGUUAUCUGCUAACUCCAUUGCUAAAUGAGACUUUGGGAUUUGUUCAUGAACUCUUGUGACUAGGAUGUGUUGCACUUUCAUUUGGAAAUCACUGUGUAACUAUAAAGACAUAUUUUUGUGGAAAAUACAUCAUAGGCUACUGCCAAGCAGCAUUUUCUGGUUCUAGAACAAAUGUACAAUAUUUUUUUCUAUAGCACUUUUAAAUUUUACAAAGCACUUUACAGUUUUUCUCAUUCACAAAAAGGCUCCCAAACUCUUUUGUAGUCACACAUCUAACAAAGCCCGUGAAUAGUGUGCUGGAUUGAGACCACAUAGUCCUAGGUUUAAAUCUCUGCUUGGCAAUGAAGCUCAGUUCAUGACCUUGGGUGCACCAUUCUGUGUCAGCCCAGUCUACCUCACAGGAUUAUUGUGAGGCUAAAACAGUAAAAGGUAUAUCAUGGAGCUCUCUGGAAGAAGGGUGGCGUACAAAUAAAAUAAAUGAGAUGGAAGUGAUUCUACCACUGCCUCCCUGGGAUCUCAGGGAUUGUCCACAAUUUUGCUUUUCCUUCUCCUAUUGAAUGGUACUAAGCUUGCAGCUUGAUAAGGGUUAAGUUGUAUCUGGUAAUUUCCCUUUGUCUGAGAACUAGCUAGGAAAUGAAUGGCCACAGGGGAAAGUUCACAUCGGAGCUUCUACAGCUAGGGAAUCAUAGUUCCAAUGCCUGAAUUUGUAUUAUACUCCUUUUGGCUUGCCUAACUCACUCUCUUUAGAUAUGCUGCCUCCAUUUCCUUGCCUGGCAUGUCUGCCCACUGUUACUCAUCUGAAAGAUGGGUUUGGGGUUGGCAGUCUCUGUUACACAACAGCACUGUAAUAUAUACAACAAUUGUUGAUAUGGUAAAGCACUUACUUCCCCACCCCAUGCAAAAAACAUGCAGCCCUUAUCUUUGCUGACUUAUUGGUCAACAAUGCUAAGCAAGAGUGACUCAUAUAGUUCAUAUACUUUAUUGCUUUCCUUUUAAUCUUUUUAAAGGCUUGGAAAUGUAGAAAAUGUUGGAAAAAAUGCUGGAAAGCCAUCAGUUAACUUGUUUUCAAUAAUCUGUGGUGCUUCAAGGCAGGAAUUGGCAGAUGAUUUAUCUGACCUAUUGAUAAGUUUCUUAUUUGCAGUAUGCUGGAAAGGAUUUCCAACUUCUAAUUGUUAAUAGCAGCACCAAAAUGAGCCCCUCCCCCAUAACAAUUAUACUGUGGAAAUGAUGAAAACUUUGGGUAACCAGGAGUGGAUUUUUAGCUCUGUUUAGUUCUGGAACUAAAAACAAACUGGACUCAGAAUACACUUAGAAUUUUCACUAGGCUCUGGCUGGUGAAUCUUGGGAGUUCUAGGAAAAAGGAGAUCCCACAAGUGUGAAGUCUACUUGCCCCUGUCCCAAGUUAUAUGAGUCUUCAGGCAUACGAGUGGUUCUGAACAGUGGGUUGAGAAGCAUGGCUUUUAUUGCAAUUAAUGUUCUUUGUAUUUAUGUUUUCCUUAAUUUUCUUUUCUUCAAUGUUUUGUUACAUCUAUCUUGGUGUAGUUUUAAGUAAUAGGUUUAACUCGCAAAAGAUGGUGCAAAAUUAAAACACUAAGGCUGCAAUCCCAAAUAUAUUUAUUUGGGUGGAAUUGCUCACCCCAUGUUUAUGUGCAAGUCACACUCACAAAUAAGUGUGUGUUUAGGAUUGCAGCCUUAGUUGCCUAUAGGAGGUGAAAACAUUAUCACAAGCUAGUGUUACACUGGCUUUUCUGACUAUAUAUUUAUUAGUUCAGUAUGUUGUCAUCUUCCAGCUAUAUUUUUAGUAUUAUACCUAUCUUUGCCCCAAGUCAGGCUUCCUGGAAUGGAUCUUUCCCAGAGUUGUGCAGCCUCAAAGGAUAGCGAGGAAAAUGUUCCCCUUUCUGUAUUUAAAUAAUCCACAUGUUGGUCAAUUAUACUAGCCUAGGGCUGGCCCAAAGUUUCCCCCCUCCCUGGAGGAACUAAAAUUUUGCCCUUAUUGUAUUCCUAUGUGCUGAACAGCUUAACAGUGGAACUUUAAAUGACUAAAGAAUUGAUCGGCGUUAUUUUCUUAUUUUUAUUUUCAGUUUCAGUAACUUAGCAUACUUACUUGUAUUGCACAUUAAUUCAGCUGUACUAAAUACUGAGCACCAUCAUCAACAAGAUCAGAACCCCCAUUUCACCCAUAAACAUGCACUUUAAAAAAGUGAAUAAAGUCAAUACUUUAACAUUCCUUCACCAUCCUGACUGUGAGUAACACUUAACUUACAAAGAUCCGUGGGGCACCAAAAUGAAAAUGGGCAGCCUGACCCUUUGAUGAAAUAGAUUGGGAUGGUGAUAGACUAAGACAUCUAGAAUGCAGGAAAUAUAACUCAGCUAAUGAAAGUUUAAGCUGCCUCUGUGCACCUCCUUCAAAAGUAUUUCUCCAACACUUCCGGGAAGGGUGACUUCGCUUGUGCCUGCUUUUGAGACGGGCUCCCGCCUCAAAAGAAGCUUAUUCAGAUAUAAAUCAGUCAGAACAUUUUUUAUUUUGACUGAUGAAAUUUCUCCCGGGCAGGGAGAAACGUAGAGAUCAACCUCAAAAGCCUGUUUUUGUUGGGAGGACUGGAUUUCAUUAAUUUAUGAGAAAAGGUCCAGCCAGCAAUGCCGGACGGACUUCCAAACAAGCUCUAUCUGAUUAAUGCGAUAUGUUUAUCUUUUCUUCAAAGAGAAAACAGACUAACAGGCAAGCACCCUUCUUUCUAUUAUUUUUUUUACUUGGUUUAAAUUGUUGCAGCAAAAACAGAUUUGUCAAAUGAAUCAGCUUUAAAGAGCUUCUGGGUGAGCUAUAACUCUUCUCUGUUAUUCACGAAAUUAACAGCUUAUCUCUGUUUCUAUUGCAAAAAGCUGUCCUGGAAGUGCAUUCUAAAGAUAUAAACAGAAGAGGGAUUUCUAUUCCGAGGAACAUUAUAUUGUCUGGGACUAUUCUCUUUUUGUUCUAUUUUAUUUUGACGAAUCUGCUUCUUCACGACGCCGCUAACUGUUUUGAUGCUGGGAACUAAAUUUGUUUUGUAUUCUUGAACAUAGAGAGAUAAGGCAGGCUGCUCUGUUUAUACUGUGAUGUCAUCAAGCCUGGAAUAUUAACCCAAUUGUUGCUGAAAUAAGAAGUGGUUCUUCUUUAUUUUUGUUUUGUUUUGUUUUGGUGGUUUUAAAAAUGGCAAUAAAGGAAGUGGCUGAGAAUCUGGAAGUAAUUAUGUUUCAGAAAAUAAUGGAUGAGAUUGAGAUAAUGAAACAAACCCUGCGACAGGGCAGUAAGGAGCUGAAAAUUGAACUGAGCAAAAUGACGCAGGAGCUUAAAGAAAUAGGGGAUCCUGUGAGAGAGGAGAAUGAGAUCAGAGAUGAGAAAAGAAAAAAUAAAGGGAAGAUACAAGCCCUGGAGAUUGGAACAAAUGUGGAAUUGGAAAAAGAUCUGGAGUUUAUGGAUAUUAGAAAUAAAAUCUACUGUUUGGAAUUUAACGUUAUCUCUGAAGAAAUUAAUGAAGAUAUUAGAGAUAAAGUUAUCAAUGGCUUGGAUAAUCUUCUGGACUGGAAUGACGUGAUGGAGCUUGAUAUAGAGAAAAUCUAUGGAAUUAACUGCAGCCAUGUGACAAUGGAAAAACUCUCAAGAGAUGAGCCAGUGCAUUUUGUAAAAAAGAAGAACAGAGAUAUGACUUUACAACAAUAUUUCAGCAACUUAUUCAGAAUUGAUGGCAAGAAAAUAUUUGGGAUAGAGAAAAUUCCCAUCAGACUCUUAUUAUAUGACUAUGGCUAUGACAGCAAGAUUAUUAUGGAAUACUGAUAAUGGAAGAUUGGACACUGAAAUUACUGGACUUAACAGGACUAUUGAAGAUGGAAGAUGGAAUUAAUAGGGAUAAUGGAAUAAUGGCUAUUGAAAUUAUUGGACAGAUUUUGAUGAGAUGGAUUAAUCAAUAUGUUUAUUUGGACUAUGGUUAUGACAAUAAGAUUAUUAUUAUUAUUAACGAGAUGGAUUAAUCGACAUGUUUAUUUGGAGAAAAAUUGAUAGAUAUAUUUCUUAAAGAAUUGAAACCUCUCUUUGACUUUUUGUGGAAAGAAUAAAGUAAUGUUUAUGAGAUUUGAUGAUUAAUUAAGAUAACUACUGGAGGAAAGUGAUUUUAUAAUAUAAUUUAAGAGACAGGAUUGUUAUAUAUUGUA